rnacentral:tRNA from 1 species
GGGGCUCACUGGUAGAGCAUUUGUGUGCCAAGCCAAAGGUCCCGGGUUCAAUUCCCGACAUCUCCA